AUACGGAGGAUGCGAGCGUUAUCCGGAUUUAUUGGGUUUAAAGGGUGCGCAGGCGGGUGAUUAAGUCAGCGGUGAAAGGCUCGGGCUCAACCGGGGCAGGGCCGUUGAUACUGGUUGUCUUGAAUGCGGUCAAGGCCGGCGGAAUGUGGCGUGGUGAGGUGAAAUGCAUAGAUAUGCCACAGAACACCGAUAGCGAAGGCAGCUGGCCGGGCCUGCAUUGACGCUGAGGCACGAAAGCGUGGGGAUCGAACAGGAUUAGAUACCCUGGUAGUCCACGCUGUAAACGAUGGACACUCGUUGUCGGCGACAGACAGUCGGCGGCCAAGCGAAAGUGAUAAGUGUCCCACCUGGGGAGUACGGUCGCAAGGCUGAAACUUAAAGGAAUUGACGGGG
rnacentral:rRNA from 1 species